rnacentral:rRNA from 1 species
AUUGAACGCUGGCGGCAGGCCUAACACAUGCAAGUCGAGCGGCAGCGGGAAAGUAGCUUGCUACUUUUGCCGGCGAGCGGCGGACGGGUGAGUAAUGCCUGGGAAAUUGCCCAGUCGAGGGGGAUAACAGUUGGAAACGACUGCUAAUACCGCAUACGCCCUACGGGGGAAAGCAGGGGACCUUCGGGCCUUGCGCGAUUGGAUAUGCACAGGUGGGAUUAGCUAGUUGGUGAGGUAAUGGCUCACCAAGGCGACGAUCCCUAGCUGGUCUGAGAGGAUGAUCAGCCACACUGGAACUGAGACACGGUCCAGACUCCUACGGGAGGCAGCAGUGGGUAAUAUUGCACAAUGGGGGAAACCCUGAUGCAGCCAUGCCGCGUGUGUGAAGAAGGCCUUCGGGUUGUAAAGCACUUUCAGCGAGGAGGAAAGGUUGAUGCCUAAUACGUAUCAACUGUGACGUUACUCGCAGAAGAAGCACCGGCUAACUCCGUGCCAGCAGCCGCAGUAAGAC